rnacentral:snoRNA from 1 species
UUGCAGUGAUGAAAUAUUCCCCACAUUCGCAGUUUCCACCAAAAAGGCACCUGUGCCUUGAUGAUGGGACAAUUCCUUCCUUGGAUGUCUGAGCUU